UCACCCGGAAGUGGGCCGGCGCCGGUAGUGACGCCAUCAGACCGCGCCCCGCCGCCGCAGGGGCCUCUUCCGGCCGGCGCCGGGUCCUUGCUCGCCGCGCCGCCGCUCUCGGCCGGUCCCCAGCGCCUGCUCCCCUGCCGCCCGCCCGGAGGGAGCCGGGAGAACGGCCGCGGCGGCCGAGCAUCCCCGAUGCCCCUGCUUUCUCACCUGGGUUCAUGGAGAGUGCGAUUUUAGUCUCCUGCCUAACUUGAAACGGUUAGCAAGGUAAUAGGCGCGUUGGGCUAAAGUGCGAUGUCCUCUUUCCCGAAUGCAGGCCGUGCGCUUCGUGGGCGAUUAGCCCCAACAGCCGCCUAGGCCACCGCCCGGCGGCGCCGAGACGCCCGCGGAGCGGUGGCCGCUGCGGGGCGCCGAGCGGAGACGGCGCCCGGCCGACCCGGGCCGGGAAACCUGCGACCAGCACCGCGGGGGAGCCCGAGACGUCCCGGCGGCGGCUCGUUUUUAGACCCAAGGGUCAUUUUUAAAUCAGAUCCUUUCCGUUCUGAACUGCGUCAGAACCGAGCGUUGCUAUUUACACCCACACAUCGUCCAGACUUGCAGCGUGUGGAGCCGCUGCCCUGUGGGGAGAAAUCACGGCACUCACUCCAUCGGGCUGCUCAGGAGUCCUGGAUCUUUUAAAAUUACCAAUCAAAACCAGGGUGUUCAUCGAUGCCAUAAGAGAGGAAGUGAGGUUUGAAAAGCCCUAGAGACAAGGCUAACACGUUUCCCUCCACGCUGAACAGAUUUAUUUUUGUCAGUAAAAGUGAAAAGAGUAGAACACCAAAACCAAAGCCGCCACCUCAUGCACUGUGCUUCUCUCUACCCUGGAAGAAUUUUCUAGGAAUAUACACCACAUGUGUAGUUGAUAUCUGAAUUUUCUUGCCAUCAUUUUAAAUAUUUGGAAAGGAUAUAAUUUCCGACAUUCUGAUAACAGCAUUUUAAAAUUCAGGUUAUACCUUUUUAAAAAAAUACCCAAUGGAAUCUUAAAUACAGUAGAGAUAUGAUACCCAUUCUCCAUCUUAAGAAAUUUAUGAAAAAAAACUCUUCUUUCAAAGGCAAACAUCAUUUUCUCCUUUAAGUCAUUCCUAUUCUAUUCAUCCCACAGAACUGUAUGCUAAUGUAUCUUUAUGCUUUAAAGCCUUACUGAUCACGGCAUCUUUUUUGCAAGACACCCAUACAUAUGUAAUCACAAAACAGAUACUCAUGGCACAUUCUCAGGCAUUUAUGGACAAGUGCAGAGCAGUGAGAAACUCUAAUCAAUUUGUGUGCAUGUCCCAGUGGGACUUGAAGAAGGCCAAGCUCUGCUUUCUUGUUAGUUCUCUAUAAACAAUAUGUAACUAUAAACAAUAUCCUUUACACUAUAAACAAUAUCCUUUACACAGUCUAGGAAACGUUUUUUGAUUUUUGUACCUUCGUUUGGUGAUUUUGCUGUUUUAAAUGGCCUCCAAGAGUAGUGCUAAAGUGCUGCCUAGCAUUCCUAAGCGUAAGAAAGUUGUGAUGUGUCUUACAGAAAAAAUUCAUGUGCUAGGAAAGCUCCGUUUGGGCAUGAGUUAUAGUGCUGUUGGCCGUGAGUUCAAUGUUAAUGAGUCAACAAUACGAUACAUCCAGAAAAAGGAAGAAGAUAUUUGCAGGUCUGUGAGUGAGGCUGCUCCAGAGAGCGCUAAAGUAACAUCUGUAGUACGUGACGAAGCCAUGGAAAAGCAGCUAAAUUUGUGGAUUCAUGAGAUGAUGAUCAACAAAAAAAGUAUAGUGGAAAGCAUUGUUGUGAGGCUGAAAGCCAAAAAAAUUUACAGUCACGUAACCCAGGGUCAGGAACAUGUUAAAUCAUUCUCAGCUAGUGCAGGCUGGCUUGCAUGUUUCAAAAGACGAUACAGCAUGAAAAACUUUAAACUUGCAGUCGAGGAUGGUUCUGCACACCAGGAAGCCGCAGAAGAAUUUAAAAAGUACCGUUCAGUGUUAUACAUGAAAAGGGUUAUGUUGAAGAGCACGUUUUCAAUGCCGAUGUGAUUGGCUUGUUUUACAAGAUUGUUGGCAAAUGAACUUACGUGAUGCAAAAAACUUCCCAGGAUCCUGAUUCUAAAAUACUCAAAGAUCAUACAACCUUGCUGCUAUGCACCAAUGCUAAGGGCAACUUUAAAUGCAAGCCCCUAAUGGUGCACUUAAAGGGAAGAAUUUGAACUGUAUGCCACUCCACUGGAGAUGGAACCAAAAAGCAUGGAUGGCAUCUGAAAUAUUCUGGGAUUGGUUCCACAACUGCUUUGUCCCAGAAGUAGAAUGCUAUCUCCAGAGCAAAAACUUUGCCUUUAGGGUUUUAUUAAUUUUGGAUAAUGCCCCAGUUCAUUGCCAUGAAGAACUAGAAAAUGCCCACCCCAAUGUGGAAGUUCUUUUCAUGCCCCCAAAUACUACAUCUCUCAUCCAGCCCCUCAAUCAAGGCAUAAUAAAAGCUUUCAAGGCACAGUACAUGAGAGAGCUGUACAGUAAAGCUUGUGAGACACUUGCUGCCAACCAAGAAGCCACCAUGUUAGAUUACUGGAAAUCAGUGACUAUCCGCAAUGUUAUUGAUUAUGUUGUCACAGCUUGGGAUAACAUCAAACAGACUAUUAUCAAUAACUGCUGGGAAAGUGUUUGGCCAAAUUGUGUGAAAACUUUUGAAGGUGUUACAGAAAAUAUAAAAAACAUAACAUGUCAAAAACAUAAUGUGUACCGCACAACAAAUAAGUGGAAAGGGUUUCAAUGACAUGAGGGAAGAAGAUGUGGAGGAAAUUUUGGCAGAGAAGGCAGUAGAACCCACCAACAAAGAUCUGGAUGAGAUGGCAAAACAUGGUAUCAGAAUCAGUGAUGAAAGUCAAGAUAGUGAUGUCAGCCAGCCCAUGACUCCAAGAAUUAUUCCUCUUACAGCAGCCAAAAUAUCAGAGUGGAAUUCUGCCCUGGAAAAAAUUUUCAAUGACAUGGAAGAAUGUGACCCUAUGCUUGAACGCAGUCUCACAUUUAAGCGCCUCACCUCCACUGCAUUUGUCCCUUAUUCAGAAAUGCUUAAAGAUUUGAGGAGAAAACAGGCAAACAAAGCUGAAGCAGUUUUUCUAGCCAAUUUUAGAGGGAAAGAUGCAAAAGAUAGAACUGCUGGAUCACAACAUCCCAUCUCCUUGACGUUUCCUCUCUCCAGGACAUGCUGUGAAGUGGAGUGAAACACAAGUGAAAGGAGCCCACUUGGCCAUCCAUCCACUGGACAGGUCUUCCAAAUCCAUUGGAAAAGAAAUGAAGCAUCAGGCAGAAAAUUAAAAGAUUUGGUUGCUAAAUAUCAGAUAAGUAAACUACUUCUCAAAAGUAUAUAGCCUACUACCCAGUAGUUUGCUGAAAGACAAUUAAACUUUUAAUAAUGUG